GGAAAAGAACAGGCUAACACAGAUGGCUUUUUAACCAUAGGCAGUUACUAUCGGCUUUACAGGAACUAAAGAGGAAGAUGAAGGGGAUGACUGUCUGUUGGGGUCUGUGGAUCAGUUCUGGUGGUUUCCGCACAUGUGGAGUCAUAUGCAGCCCCACCUCUUUCAUAAUGAGUCAUCUUUGGUGGAGCAGAUGAUUCUCAACAAAAAAUUUACCUUAGAACUGCCAUCACAGAAAAGGGUCAAAUCAGGAUCAGCAAGAGAUCACCAAUAUCCUGAAGCCCUGCCUCGGAGCUCAGCUCUCUAUCUGUGUAGCUGAGUCCCUAGGAUGAUGAGGACCAGGAAGAGGAAGGCUCCCAGGAUGAUGCAGAGGAUCCCCGGUAAAGAAAAGAAAUCCAAAACAGGUGCUGAGACUGAACUGGUGCCUGAGGAGGAAAAGAGCCUGUGAGUCUUCAGAGAAGGCCGAAAGUCUAUCUUCUGGCACAGGGGUCUCUCUGAAGUGAGCCCUGUCUGCCCUGGAAGCACUAUGGCUGCUACAACGCAAUGAAAUGUUAUGGUUGCUUCUAAAGUGUGACCAUCUAGCCUACCCAGAUGCAGAAGUAUGUAGAUUGCAUAGUGCAGAUGCAUGAGAAUCUAAACAGCUCUCUAUGAACUAGCUCAUGGCAGAAGAAUACUUACUUCAGGGGAUGGGAGGAACAGUUGCCCUUUCACCUGGAGAGAAAAGGAGAAAAGCAGAAUCACUGCACUGUGCCACUGGACAGUCACACCAUCACUGCACAUGGCUCUCUCCCAGACACCAGGAGCUCAUAGCACAGCCUCUGCAGAACCACAGCACAGGGCAGAGGGCAGCCUUGGACACAGUUCUCCUGCACCUGCCUCCCACACCCCUGGUCUGCCACUCACCUGAGCUCCUCACGCCUGCGUCUUCAUGCUUGCAGUUGCUCUGUCCCCAGGGCACCCUGGCAAGGCCCACAGGGAGGGCUCCCCGCCCCUGCACUGCACCUCAUCCAGCCAGAUGCUUCCAUUUCCCGGGCCAAAUGCAGCCUCUCCCAGGGUGUCCAUGGCAGGGCCACAGCCCAGCUGCUGACACACCUCAGCCAGGCCCCAGGAGCCAUCACACACUGUGCCCCAGGAGCCUUCAUGCCACACCUCCACGCGGCCUGAGCACACACUGUCUCCUCCCCUGAGCCGUAGCUUCUCUCUGUCUGGAAAGGCAGCAGCAGCUCCUCUCCCUGCCCUGGUGGAGGGAAGGAGCCCCCAGGAGCCCUGGGGGAGGCAGGGAGGGCUGCAGUACCUGUGCAGGGGCCAGAGUUGGGCAGCUCUUGGGUCUGGGACCUGCAGGAGCAGACAGUUGGGAAGCACUGGGUCAGCAGUGGGUGGGGCUGGUCCUCCCCAAACCAAAGAUCUCUACAUCCUGAUUUCAGUCCAGAUGACAGUGGAAAUAAGGGCCUUUUCAAGUUAGCCCAGCAGUUUGCUUGAUGAGACAUCACUGGCCCAUGUCCUUCAGCAUCAGUUGCAAUUAUCUAUUCAUUUCAAUUGUGUGACCCUCUCCACACUCCCACACCACACACAAACACAAAUAUGCACAGACACACGCACCAGAGGUCAAGCCCCACUAGAGGAAGCACCUUACACAUCUCCCUUCUUCUGGGCCUGUGUCAGGGUGGGCAGCGCGGUGGUCCACAUCACCAGUAAGGAGGGGCAGGGACCUUUGUGUGCAUGCUCUGAAAGGGGCUGAAACAUCUAUUGAAUGAAUGACCAGAUGUGUCAACUCUGCUAAAUUUAAUUCAUCUCACACCUUGAUAAUCAGAUAAAAAGGGAAUAGAAAUUAACGGCAUUGAGUUGUAGUAAUAAAUACUGAGCAUUAAAACAUAGUUUGUACAUAAUCACAAAAGCGAACUGUAUUCAAAAUUUCAUUAAGAUUUAAUAUAAAUUAUAAAAGUUAAAAAGAUAAAAAAAUUUAAUUCUACAAAAAUUACAGAACAAGUAGCACUAAAAGAAAGAUGGCUAAGUGGACAAUAGCGAGCAGGUGAGUGAGUUCCAGAGAACUGGAAUACCCUGAGUGAAACUAACUCACAAGAGGAAACGGAGACUCAGACCAAAACAGUACAGAAAACUACUGAAUCCAUGAGAAAGAGAGGAAUCCCAAACAACACAGACAAUCCGGGUGUAUAUACAGGCUUGUCCUAAAUUAUCAGAAUCCCACAGAUUCCCACGUGGCCCCUCAACCCUCCUCCCUGGUGGAGGACACAGCUCUGACAGUGAUGAGUGGGCUUCUAUGCAGGGCUUGCUCAGCUUCCACAUCGAAGACUUUACUACCUCCUGACUCUUCAUGUCCUCUUGUAGGAAAAAUAUUACCAAGACAUGGUCUUUUAGUUUAAUAACCUUCAACUUCCACAGGGAAAAGACAGAAAGUGAGGACACAGUCAAUGGAGAAUGCAAACAUUUAUGAAACCUUUAUCAUUAUAUUCUCCUCUACUGUAAACUUCAGACAAGUCUUUGCACACUACUCCAGGUAAAACUGAAUGAGGUGUGUGUGUGUGUGUGUGUGUGUGUGUUUGUGAGAGAGAGACAGAGAGACAGAGAGAGAGAGAGGGAGAGGGAGAGGGAGAGGGAGAAUCAAGAGGAACAAAACAUGUUGAAGGAAGUGAAAUCACUAUGAAAAGUCAAAACAAGGAAAGAUGAAAGGAAGGAAAGAAGAAUAUAAUGAGUAUUUGGUUUUUGAUAUCCUCAGUGUGUACUUGCUCUAAUCUAAUGGACACAUUGUAAGCAAAAAAUCUCAAUCUUUUCUAUAUAGAUAUGAAUAUGCAAAAUGGAAAUUAUUGGUUUCAAAUUGUUGAGUAAAAAAGCUAAUAUAACAAUAAUAUGUAUACACAAUACCAAUAUUGUGAAAAGAAAUAAAAAUAUGC
ensembl:lncRNA